CCUACGGGAGGCAGCAGUGAGGAAUAUUGGUCAAUGGGCGUAAGCCUGAACCAGCCAAGUCGCGUGAGGAAUGAAGGUUCUAUGGAUCGUAAACCUCUUUUAUAAGGGAAUAAAGUGUGGGACGUGUCCUAUUUUGUAUGUACCUUAUGAAUAAGGAUCGGCUAACUCCGUGCCAGCAGCCGCGGUAAUACGGAGGAUCCGAGCGUUAUCCGGAUUUAUUGGGUGUAAAGGGUGCGUAGGCGGCCUUUUAAGUCAGCGGUGAAAGUCUGUGGCUCAACCAUAGAAUUGCCGUUGAUACGGGAGGGCUUGAGUAUGUUUGAGGCAGGCGGAAUGCGUGGUGUAGCGGUGAAAUGCUUAGAUAUCACGCAGAACCCCGAUUGCGAAGGCAGCCUGCCAGGCCAUGACUGACGCUGAUGCACGAAAGCGUGGGGAUCAAACAGGAUUAGAUACCCUUGUAGUC
rnacentral:rRNA from 1 species